UACAGAGGUCUCAAGCGUUUGUUCGGAUUCAUUGGGGCGUAAAGGGUGCGUAGGCGGCGCGGUAAGUCGGGGUGUGAAAUCUUGGAGCUUAACUCCGAAACUGCAUUCGAUACUGCCGUGCUUGAGGACUUGGAGAGGAGACUGGAAUUUACGGUGUAGCGGUGAAAUGCGUAAAUAUCGUAAGGAAGACCAGUGGCGAAGGCGGGAUCUCUGGACAGUUCCUG
rnacentral:rRNA from 1 species